rnacentral:rRNA from 1 species
UACGGGAGGCAGCAGUGAGGAAUAUUGCGCAAUGGAGGAAACUCNGACGCAGCCAUGCCGCGUGAAGGAAUGAAUGCCCUAUGGGUUGUAAACUUCUUUUAUAUGGGAAGAAAUAUAGAUACGUGUAUUUAUUUGACGGUACCAUAAGAAUAAGGACCGGCUAACUCCGUGCCAGCAGCCGCGGUAAUACGGAGGGUCCAAGCGUUAUCCGGAUUCAUUGGGUUUAAAGGGUUCGUAGGCGGAUAAAUAAGUCAGUGGUGAAAUCCCGAAGCUCAACUUCGGAACUGCCAUUGAAACUGUUUAUCUUGAAUUUGGUUGAAGUGGGCGGAAUAUGACAUGUAGCGGUGAAAUGCAUAGAUAUGUCAUGGAACACCGAUAGUGAAGACAGCUCACUAAGCCAAUAUUGACGCUGAUGAACGAAAGCAUGGGUAGCGAACAGGAUUAGAUACCCUGGUAGUCCAUGCCGUAAACGAUGAUUACUAGCUAUUAGCGAUACUANAUGUCAGUGGCACAGCGAAAGCGUUAAGU